rnacentral:misc_RNA from 1 species
CAGUGUGUAAGUAUAGGGGC